UACAGGAGGUCCCAAGCGUUGUUCGGAUUUACUGGGCGUAAAGGGUGCGUAGGUGGCGAGGUAAGUUCGAUGUGAAAUCUCCGAGCUCAACUCGGAAAUGGCAUUGAAUACUAUCCCGCUUGAGGGUCGGAGGGGAGACUGGAAUUCUCGGUGUAGCAGUGAAAUGCGUAGAUAUCAAGAGGAACACCUGAGGUGAAGACGGGUUGCUGGGCUGACACUGACGCUGAGGCGCGAAAGCCAGGGAGCAAACGGG
rnacentral:rRNA from 1 species